rnacentral:rRNA from 1 species
UACGAAGGGAGCUAGCGUUGUUCGGAAUCACUGGGCGUAAAGCGCACGUAGGCGGAUGUGUCAGUCAGGGGUGAAAUCCCGGAGCUCAACUUCGGAACUGCCUCUGAUACAGCACGUCUUGAGUCCGAUAGAGGUGGGUGGAAUUCCUAGUGUAGAGGUGAAAUUCGUAGAUAUUAGGAAGAACACCGGUGGCGAAGGCGGGUCUCUGGGCCGAUACUGACGCUGAGGAGCGAAAGCGUGGGGAGCGAACAGG